AGUGAACGCUGGCGGUAGGCCUAACACAUGCAAGUCGAACGGCAGCACAGAAAGAGCUUGCUCUUACGGGUGGCGAGUGGCGGACGGGUGAGGAAUACAUCGGAAUCUACUUUUUCGUGGGGGAUAACGUAGGGAAACUUACGCUAAUACCGCAUACGACCUACGGGUGAAAGCAGGGGAUCUUCGGACCUUGCGCGAUUGAAUGAGCCGAUGUCGGAUUAGCUAGUUGGCGGGGUAAAGGCCCACCAAGGCGACGAUCCGUAGCUGGUCUGAGAGGAUGAUCAGCCACACUGGAACUGAGACACGGUCCAGACUCCUACGGGAGGCAGCAGUGGGGAAUAUUGGACAAUGGGCGCAAGCCUGAUCCAGCCAUACCGCGUGGGUGAAGAAGGCCUUCGGGUUGUAAAGCCCUUUUGUUGGGAAAGAAAAGCAGCAGGUUAACACCCCGCUGUUCUGACGGUACCCAAAGAAUAAGCACCGGCUAACUUCGUG
rnacentral:rRNA from 1 species